GCAACGCGAAAAACCUUACCUACCCUUGACAUGUAUGGAAUUCUGCUGAGAGGUGGAAGUGCCUGAAAGGGAACCAUAACACAGGUGCUGCAUGGCUGUCGUCAGCUCGUGUCGUGAGAUGUUGGGUUAAGUCCCGCAACGAGCGCAACCCUUGUUAUUAAUUGCCAUCAUUUAGUUGGGCACUUUAAUAAGACUGACGGUGAUAAACCGUAGGAAGGUGGGGAUGACGUCAAGUCCUCAUGGCCCUUAUGGGUAGGGCUUCACACGUCAUACAAUGGUCGGUACAGAGGGUAGCCAACCCGCGAGGGGGAGCCAAUCUCAGAAAGCCGAUCGUAGUCCGGAUUGUUUUCUGCAACUCGAGAGCAUGAAGUCGGAAUCGCUAGUAAUCGCGGAUCAGCAUGUCGCGGUGAAUACGUUCCCGGGUCUUGUACACACCGCCCGUCACACCAUGGGAGUGGGUGAUACCAGAAGUAGGUAGUCUAACCGCAAGGAGGGCGCUUACCACGGUAUGAUUCAUGACUGGGGUGAAGUCGUAACAAGGUAACCGU
rnacentral:rRNA from 1 species